AAGUUGCAUCAGGAGAGACCAAUUGGUCCGGCAACCGGGGUCACGCCCACGGUGCCAUCUCAUCCGCAAGGAUGAGAGAUGUGGUUUCGUCGUUAAGACGAAGCAACGGGCUGGCUCAGU
rnacentral:ncRNA from 2 species